rnacentral:SRP_RNA from 1 species
GCCGGGCGCGGUGGCUCACGCCUGUAAUCCAAGCACUUUGGGAGGCUGAGGCAGGUGGAUCGCCUGAGGUCAGGAGUUCAAGACCAGCCUGGCCAACAUGGUGAAACCCCGUCUCUA